AUACGUAGGGUGCGAGCGUUGUCCGGAAUUACUGGGCGUAAAGAGCUCGUAGGUGGUUUGUCGCGUCGUCUGUGAAAUUCCGGGGCUUAACUCCGGGCGUGCAGGCGAUACGGGCAUAACUUGAGUACUGUAGGGGAGACUGGAAUUCCUGGUGUAGCGGUGAAAUGCGCAGAUAUCAGGAGGAACACCGGUGGCGAAGGCGGGUCUCUGGGCAGUAACUGACGCUGAGGAGCGAAAGCAUGAGUAGCGAACAGGAUUAGAUACCCUGGUAGUCCAUGCCGUAAACGGUGGGCGCUAGGUGUAGGGGUCUUCCACGACUUCUGUGCCGUAGCUAACGCAUUAAGCGCCCCGCCUGGGGAGUACGGCCGCAAGGCUAAAACUCAAAUGAAUUGACGGGG
rnacentral:rRNA from 1 species